AAUCAACGCUGGCGGCGUGCCUCAGACAUGCAAGUCGAACGAUUAAAGCUCUCUUCGGAGAGUGUAUAGAGUGGCGCACGGGUGAGUAACACGUAAGUAAUCUACCUUUGAGUGGGGAAUAACAGUCGGAAACGACUGCUAAUACCGCAUAAUGCAGCGGCAUCGCAAGAUGACAGUUGUUAAAGGAGCAAUCCGCUUAAAGAGGAGCUUGCGGCAGAUUAGCUAGUUGGUAAGGUAAUGGCUUACCAAGGCUACGAUCUGUAUCCGGUCUAAGAGGACGGUCGGACACACUGACACUGAAUAACGGGUCAGACUCCUACGGAGGCAGCAGUCGGGAAUUUUGGGCAAUGGGCGAAAGCCUGACCCAGCAACGCCGCGUGAAGGAUGAAGUAUUUCGGUAUGUAAACUUCGAAAGAAUGGGAAGAAUAAAUGACGGUACCAUUAUAAGGUCCGGCUAACUACGUGCCAGCAGCCGCCGUAAU
rnacentral:rRNA from 1 species